UACGUAGGGCGCAAGCGUUUAUCCGGAAUUAUUGGGCGUAAAGAGCUCGUAGGCGGUUUGUCGCGUCUGCCGUGAAAGUCCGGGGCUCAACUCCGGAUCUGCGGUGGGUACGGGCAGACUAGAGUGAUGUAGGGGGAGACUGGAAUUCCUGGUGUAGCGGUGAAAUGCGCAGAUAUCAGGAGGAACACCGAUGGCGAAGGCAGGUCUCUGGGCAUUAACUGACGCUGAGGAGCGAAAGCAUGGGGAGCGAACAGG
rnacentral:rRNA from 1 species